AUAAUAAAUCUUGUGACUUUACUUCCUUUGUGGGGAUAUAUUGAGACUGUGCAUUCAGUCAAAAUGACCCCAUGGGUUUCACUUCCCCAAAGUGGGAGCUGGAUGUGGAGGGAGCUCCCUGCUGCCCCCAUGUGGGUGGAUCGUGCCCUCACUCAGCAGGUCAUAAUCUGCAUUUUCUUAAUUCAGGGUGGGCUCUGGCCUCUCAACACACAAGGGCCCCCACCUGCCCAGCAACCUCAUUUGACUCCUUCCCACCUCUAGCCACUGCUCCUCCAAAGCCUCUCCAGGGCCUAUUCUCCACAGAAGUUCUUUAUAGAUAUCUUCUGAGCAGGUGCAGGCCUGCUUAGGUGGGGUCUGAAGCUUAUACAAUUUAGGGGAUGCUUGAUAAGAAACAAACAAAAAAAGUGAAUAAUAAAUUACAUCUAAAAAUGAUGUUUAGAAUUGAAAGGAAAUCACAGCAAAUUAUUGGAGCCUUGGAGAUUUGUGUUUCUCUUGACCAAGGUCUCUUUGGGCAGUUUAGUGAAAACCAUUCCCUAGAAAUAUUUAACUGCAACCUGGCUUCACCCUGCCUAGAAGAUUCUAGGUCAGUGGUCCUCAAAGUGGGGCCCUGAUGGGCAGCAUCUGGAUGGCAGAGGAAAAUGGAAAUUCUUGCUCUUCUGCUGACUGAAUCAGAAAUUCUGGCGACGGGGCCCUUCAGGUGACUAAAAUCUCUGCCCCCAAAUUAUGUUGAGGUGGGUUUUGCUUCUCAGGUUGAGUUGAAGUGUAGCACACAUACAGCACAGUAAAGCAUACAGCUUGGUGAAUUUUUGUGUAAUUGGACCCGAAGGGAACCACCACCCUGUGCAGGUGUUUUCAAUCAGGAGCGAUACCUAAAAACAGAAAAAAGGAGCUGGCAAGGGUAUGUCAGUUGGGGUGCCUUUGGAGACACACAGCCCCAAACCCCAGCACACACUGACCUAAAGCCAAGGAAAUGUCAUGUGUGUGGUCAGCCCAUUCAAGAUGGCUGUCCUCGGAGUUCCCGUCAUGGCGCAGUGGAAAUGAAUCCGACUAGGAACCAUGAGGUUGCAGGUUCGAUCCUUGGCCUUGCUCAGUGAGUUGAUGAUCCGGCAUUGCUGUGAGUUUUGGUGUAGUUCGCAGACGCAGCUUGGAUCUGGCGUUGCUGUGGCUCUGGCGUAGGCUGGUGGCUACAGCUCCAAUUAGACCCCUAGCCUGGGAACCUCCAAAUGCUGAGAGUGCAGCCCUAAAAAGGACAAAAAAGACAAAAAAAAAAGAUGGCUGUCCUCUUGCUCUCUCUGUCCUUUGCUCAACUGGCCCCUGCUUUACUCACAUAACUAUCCAAUUCUCUUAAUUAUAAGGCUUAACUAGUCACUGGUAACUGAUGAGCCCACCUGACAUCAACUCCCCCUAUAACUGGUAGCCUCUGGUCCUGGGGGUGGAGAGGAUUGCUGCUUUGUUCUGCCUGCUAUUCACCGUAGGGGUGCAGCUCCAGGAUGGUGCUUUGGAUGGGUAAGUUCUCCCGUCCAACAAAUUGUUGGUUUCUCUGUUACUGUCUCCAGGCUCCUUCUCUGGUCUGAAGGCUGGGCCACCAAUGGGCAAGCCAGCCAAGAGGCCAACAAAGCUCCCAUGAACACUGGAAAAUGGAAAGUUUUAGGGGAAACUAGGGGUGGUCGUCUACUCGAGUAUGGAGCCCUGUGACAUCUGUCUUUUCUUUUUUUUCUUUGGCCACUCCUAGCACAUGGAAGUUCCUGGGCCAGAGAUUGAACUCGAGCUACAGCAGUGACCAAUGCUUAACUGCUAGGCCACCAGGGAACCCUGGCAUCUCUCCUUGAUGAAUGGGGGCCGCCAAGAGACUACGGGAAAUCGGGAGUUCCCAUCGUGGCUCAAUGGUUAACAAGUGAGAACCAUAAGGUUGCAGGUUCGACCCCUGCCCUUGCUCAGUGGGUUAAGGAUCCGGCGUUGCUGUGAGCUGUGGUGUAGGUUGCAUACGCAGCUCAGGUCCCGCAUUGCUGUGGCUCUGGCAUAGGCUGGCAGCUACAGCUCCGAUUCAACCCCUAGCUUGGGAAUCUCCACAUGCCGUGGGAGCGGCCCAAGAAACAGCAAAAAGACAAAAAAAAACAAGAGACUACAGGAAGUCCCUUGACUCCCUAAGGGAGUUGUGAACUGUUGGCUGCUGUUACUGUCGGGAAAAGAACCUAGACAGCAAGGCGGUGCCCGUGGCUGUGAGCUGGCCACUGCUUUGGAUGCUGAGAAAGGCCACAGACACUGAGCUAGUGGCCAAGGCAGAGGUUAGGAGCCUAGAAGAGGAACUCUAGGCCGGCCCAAACCGAAACUGCUGAAUCGUUAAUGGCCAGAUUGAGGAAAUAAAAUGGGAAGUAGAGAUGUUUGCCUGCCGAGGGACCUGGCUGAAGGAAGGCAGCUUCCCUGAAAGAAGGCUCGAGUGGUCAUGGCCCAUCCAAAGGAGACCCUCAGAGUUCCCAUCGUGACUCAGUGGAAAUGAAUCUGACUAGUAUCAUUGAGGGUGCAUGUUUGAUCCCUGGCCUCAUUCAGUGGGUUAAGGAUCCAGCAUUGCCUUGAACUGUGGUGCAGGUUGCAGACUCAGCUCGGAUCUGACAUUGCUGUGGCUGUGGUGUAGGCUGCCAGCUGCAGGUCAGAUUCAGCCCCCUAGCCUGGAAACCACCACAUAGCAUGGGUGUGUCCCUAGAAAAAAAAAAGAUGGGGGGACCCUCGAGCUGUGGGAUCCUGCUGAGAGCCUCCGUCCCACAGGAUGCAGAUGAAGGGCCGAUCCCCGCCCCAGAGCGGAGGCCGCUGACCACCAGGAGAGAUGUCCCUCAUCCAUCACGCUGAUGAUAUCCCGAUAACCCUGGGGUCGCCUUCCAGGAUAAAAGCUGCAGCCCCCUCGGAUCAUCUACUAUAAAGAUGGAAGGAACUGAGAUGGGAAAAAGAGUAGCAGCCUCCACGCUCGAGGCUCCCAUGACCGCAUAGGGCUGGCUGGUGAAUGCAGACAAAGUGCAAAGACCUGGAUUAUCUGUCAGAUACUGGGGUGUUAUCUGGUUGGGGUGAGACAAAAGUGGCACUCUCAGCAGUUACUGACAAAAUGCAAGCAUACCCCCAUCCCACCAGCUCUAAACAAUUAAACAUGUCUAGGGCUCCAUGGCUAUUGACGGCCUUUCAUCCCUCAUCUGGCCCAACCUUUGCAACAGUAUAGGCUUGUGAAGAAGGGGGCUCAUUGGGAUUGGAUCCAGGGGAGGAACAUGCCUUCACCCAAGCCCAGGUGGCUGUUAAACAGACACAGGCUUUAGGGAUAUUAACUCGGGGACAGGCUUCUAAGUUGAAUGUGACCCCAGCUACCUGGAAGGAUUGGGUUGGGGCCUGUGGUGAUGGCAAAAUUACAAGAGUACCCUUUGGCUUCUGGCCCCAGCAAUAGAAGGGCGCAGAAGGAUGUAGCGUGAUAGAGCAACAGCUGUGUGCAAUCUACACAAUGUUUGACAGCAGGUGAAAGACAUCACGAAAGGUACCCUAGUAACUUGUAUGUAGUCACUUAUCCUGUAGCUGGGUGGUAGAGGAUGCCUUCCAGAAGCCCAAGUCCAGGCCUGCCCCAAUCCAAACCAUAGUAGCUAAGUACCAUGCCUAUUGAAGUCUGCAUAGCACUUUAUCUAGCAGCCCAUUGAGUGUAGAGUUACAUGCUGUCUUAGGUCCAGUUACAUGCAUCACUGGGGCCCCCACCAGCCUGACAAGACAGCUGAUCCUCCCGAGAUACCAUCUUUAGCGAAGGAAGGUGGAGGCCCCACCCCUUCGGAAGCUUGGUGUCGGCCUGGGGUAACUCACGUGGGUGGACAGCGGGGGCCACCAGCCUGUGACGGACACGAUAUGGAUAGAUAUACUCCGGGGCUUCUCCUACAGGGAAAGGACCUCGAAAGUGACCAAGGAACCCACUUUGCCAGCCAGGACGUUCAGCAAUGGGGUGGUAAAAAUGAUGGACAGAGUUGCCUUCAUGACUCGGCAGUUAACGAACCUGACUAGGAUCCAUGAGGUUUGAUCCCCGGCCUCGCUCAGUGGGAUAAGGAUCCAGCAUUGCCGUGAGCUGUGGUGUAGGUUGCGGAAACGGCUUGGAUCCUGCGUGGCUGUUGCUGUGGCGAAGGCCGGCAGCUGUAGCUCCACUUAGACCCCUAUCCUGGGAACCUCCA
rnacentral:lncRNA from 1 species